rnacentral:rRNA from 1 species
GACGAACGCUGGCGGCGUGCUUAACACAUGCAAGUCGAACGAAGUGGCGAACGGGUGAGUAAUACGUGAGUAACCUGCCCUCCUUUUUGGGAUAAGCCUUGGAAACGGGGUCUAAUACCGGAUAAAGGGGGCUGGUCUCGCGGCCUAUCCGCUUGUUGGGGGGGUGAUGGCCUACCAAGGCGGUGACGGGUAGCCGGCCUGAGAGGGUGACCGGCCACAUUGGGACUGUGAGACGGCCCAGACGCCUACGGGGGGCAGCAGUGGGGAAUAUUGCACAAUGGGCGCAAGCCUGAUGCAGCCAUGCCGCGUGUAUGAAGAAGGCCUUCGGGUUGUAAAGUACUUUCAGCGGGGAGGCGUUACCCGCAGAAGAAGCACCGGCUAACUCCGUGCCAGCAGCCGCGGUAAUUC